UUCCCAGGGAGACGCCAAGACGGCGAGAAAGGAGGAGCGGGAACGCAGAGGUUAAGGGGAAGGAAGGCCGAGGAGAAAGAGCCAGAGGACGGGAAGGAGGAAAUAGAUGGGGAGAAGAAACUGAAGAUUAGUCGUUGAGGUCGGAGAAGGUGUGAUUAUGAAAAUAAACAAGGGAAGUGAGGGAAAUAUAACCAAGUGGAAAAAGGAAAUGGAGUGCAAAUUGAGAACAUAAUCCAGAAUUUGUAAAAAUGGUAUGGAUAAAGAAGGUCAAAAUGGUCUCUGAUGAAAAGAAACUUUUAAAACGCUUGGAAAAGUUAAUGAAUUAGAUUUCCCUGCACUUGAAGAUAUUAGGAUUGGGAGAUCAAGACUCCCAUCAGCCAAAUCAAGAAUAUUCACAAUUGACAGGAAAACUCAAAGUUUCUUUUUCCCCACCAGAGAAAUGUCUCCCACCGCCAUAGCUAAACAGUGAAUAUACUUUUUAAGGCCUCUUUAGAUGGGGAGCCUACAUUCUUUCCUCAUAACACCCUGCUGAUCCUGAUAAGCCUCCAGCUGCCCUGUGAGCAACCUAUUUCUAAACUAUGCUGAGACCACCAUGUAUUGAAGAAAUCUAAACUAGCUCAUGAGCAGAGAACACGUGGAAAGUCCUGAGACCUCAUGAAGUGAGUGAGAUGCCCAAUCAGUCUCCAGCUGAUUGCGGCUCCAACCUCGAUCGUGCUCCAGCCCCCAUUUGACUGCAGUCAGAGUUCCAUAGGCAGAACCAGCUAGCUGAGCCCUUCCCCAGUUCCUGACCCACAGAAGCCAGGAGGAAUAAUACCAUGAAUAUUGUUUUAAAUCACUAAAUUUUGCAGUCAUUUGUUAUGCAGCAAUAGAUGACCAGAACAAUGACUUUCAGAAAUUUGGUGCUGAAGUGAAAGCAGUG